rnacentral:rRNA from 1 species
CAAAACUCAAAAAAUAGAUCUCAGUUCGGACUGUAGGCUGCAACUCGCCUACACGAAGUUGGAAUUGCUAGUAAUCGUGGAUCAGCAUGCCACGGUGAAUACGUUCCCGGGUCUUGUACACACCGCCCGUCACACCAUGGGAGUUUGUAACGCCCAAAGUCGGUGGCCUAACCUUUAUGGAGGGAGCCGCCUAAGGCGGGACAGAUGACUGGGGUGAAGUCGUAACAAGGUAUC